rnacentral:rRNA from 1 species
AAGCGGGGGAUAACACCUGGAAACAGAUGCUAAUACCGCAUAACAACUUGGACCGCAUGGUCCGAGCUUGAAAGAUGGCUUCGGCUAUCACUUUUGGAUGGUCCCGCGGCGUAUUAGCUAGAUGGUGGGGUAACGGCUCACCAUGGCAAUGAUACGUAGCCGACCUGAGAGGGUAAUCGGCCACAUUGGGACUGAGACACGGCCCAAACUCCUACGGGAGGCAGCAGUAGGGAAUCUUCCACAAUGGACGAAAGUCUGAUGGAGCAACGCCGCGUGAGUGAAGAAGGGUUUCGGCUCGUAAAACUCUGUUGUUAAAGAAGAACAUAUCUGAGAGUAACUGUUCAGGUAUUGACGGUAUUUAACCAGAAAGCCACGGCUAACUACGUGC